GUGUAGAUGGAGUUCAGCACCAGGGACAGAUGUUUUUACCUGUGUGUGGAUGGUGUUUAGCACCAGGGAUAGGUGUGUUUGCCU
rnacentral:pre_miRNA from 1 species